CGCCGAGAAAUGGAACGUGUGAACUUAACCACUGUGCCACCAGGCCAGCCCCCCAGCUACUAUUUAUUGAAUGCCUGUUGGUUACUACACAUUAUAUUAGGAGCUUUGAUGUUUGUGAAAUAUACCAGUCCUUUCAGGUAGAUAAAUAUUUCAUUUUGUAAACAGUAAACUGAGGUUCAUAGUGAUUAAGUAACUUACCCAAGGUCAUCUUGUUAGGGAGUGGCUGAGCUGGGAUUUGAUCAGCUCUAUCUGUGUGAUUCCAAGGACCUUUCUGCUGUACAACACUGAUACUCUUGGGCUCAGAGAGUCAGCGACUUGCCCAAGGUUACAUGCUGCAUAGUUGCAGUGCAUGGAGUCUGAAUUUGGACCAUUGUCUCUUGACUUCUGGGCUGUGCUCUUUCAUUCUUCUAAGUCCUCAGACACCAUGUAGUGUUUGAAGGCUCCCAUCCUAGAGAUGUUGAGACUAAUGCCUUUAGUAGAACUGAUUUUGUUACUUCUUUUAAGUUAUUUUAAAACAAUUUGCGUUUAAUGAUAUCCAUUCUAUCACGCACUGGCAUACUCACUUAGUCUGCGAUAUGGGGAAGGUACAGUGAAUGUGGAAGAACCUAUGUUGGCACAGUGAAUAUAGAAGAACUUGAGGUUAUCACCAUUGCCCAUUCCUGACUUUGUGAUGUUUGGUAAGUUGCUCUACCUUUCUUAGUCUCAAUUAUCUUACCUGUAAUAUGGGUACAUCAUAAUAUUUAUCUCAUAGAGUUGCUGAAAGGAUUAUAAGACCAAAGAUGCAAAAAAAUGUUAUACAAACUACAGCCUUGUUAAGAUUUGGUAGUAGUUUUGGUGGCUGUUAUUGCUUGUAGUCUUGGUUUUCUUUUGGAAUCUGUGAUUAACACUUGAGUUGUUAUGAGAUUUACAAAAUAACAACUCUUAACAGAGUUCCUCCAAGAUAGAAUUAAAGAAUGGUCCUGUGGUAAAAUACCUUUCUCUUCCUAUAUAUAGGCUAUAUUUCCUGUUGGUUUAGACAGGGCUAAUGGAAAGACCAGAUUAAAUAAUUUUGUGCACUGAAGAAUAAGCAGACCCAAGGACAGGUUUCCCAAGAAGUUCUCAAGAGUUCUCUGUAAUGUGAGAAGCAGGAUUCUAAGCUCUGGAUAUGGACCUGGACCUCUGGAACAAAUACUAUGUUUGAAACUGAGGCCAAAUAGCCUGAGCAUGGACAUUGCCUGUUCUGCAGAUUGAAGACUUGAACUCAGAGAAAGAAAGUGACUUUCCCAGGGUCAUAAU